GUGAAAGUGCCUCACAUCUUCAUACUGGGAUUAAGAUCGGAGGGGAAAUAAAUAAAUACAACAUAUAAAUAGAGCAGUAUUUCAGUCAGAGCUUAUCUCUCUUCACUCGCUCUAGGCAGGGAACUGUAGAAUUUUUUUGCGAGAUUCAUACAUUCAGCCCAGCAGCUUUUAAAGAUUUCAGGUGAAGUGAAUCAGCCAGACGAGAUGUCGCUGCAGAAACUGGAAGAGAUUAAUGAUGAACUUCAGCAAAGCAUUAAGGGACUGAACUCAGAAUUCAACAAAAACCAUCUAACUCUCAUUAGUAAAAUAAAGGAGCUAAAAGACGUCACCAAGGAACUUGAAGACAUGCACAAAAGCACUACAACGGGCAGUUUGGUCGGAUCAUCAAUUGGAGUGGCUGGAGGAGUCAUAGCACUAGCGGGUCUGGGUUUAUCAUUUUUCACAUUUGGUGCUUCUUUAGCUCUUUCUGCUAUUGGUGGUGCUGUUGGAAUAGCUGGAGGAGUUACAGGUGCAACAUUUAACAUCAUUAACAUGUUCCAACAGAAUAAACGACGUGAGACUAUUGAGAAUAUCAUUAAUGCUUUCCAGAAAACAAUCAAUCCAAUGAUUGAGCAUCUGAAUACAAUUUCUAACAAAAUACAAGAGCUUCAGCAGGAGGGGCAGAACUAUUCUGUGCGUAAUAAAACAAUAAUGACAAGUGUGAGAUCAGUGAAAACCAUUUCCAGCAUUACAAAACUUUUAACUGUACUAAGAACUGCUAGCCUUGGGAAAACAGCUGCAAAAGCUGCCAAAACUCUUAAAGUGGUCGGGAAAAUUACUGGCACAAUCUCAACUCUGUUUCUCGCUCUUGAUGUUUAUAGUAUUUAUUGUGAUUCGGUAGAGAUCUCUGAAUUAAAUCAACCCGAAAAAGAGAGAAAAGCAGAAGAAAUCAAAUCAGAAACUUUAAAAUUUAUUAAUGAAAUGAAAAAAACUGCUGAUCAGUUUCAGGUGACUCUGAAUGAAAUUAAAAGUGCCAGAGACGAUAUUAACAGAGAUUUACAGUUCAGUUGAAAAUCUGCUUGAACUAAAAUCUUCCAUCUGCAUUUCAUGUGCACUGUAACGGUGGUACACCCUAGACUAGUAAACAUAUUUAAAUAAUAGUUCGGGCGCCAGACAGGUUUAAGUCUGUCAAUAUUUUAAAUUAACUAAAUUCCACAGAUAGCUCAGAAUUACCACCAAUCAUGAAUUUACAGCGUUUAAAGAAUAAUCAAACACUAAUCAACUAUAAAGAAUAAGUUAAACACUUUUCACACAUGAGAUGCAGUAGGAUGAGUUUUGUAUUGGCAUGUAUAAGACCCAAUUCACAUCAAACCAUUGCAACAUCUAUAAAAAAAAUGUCUUACUAUUAUUCUUUCACUACCGUUACAGCACUUAUGAAUACAAUCACAAAGAAAGUGUUCAGUCUUUGCAAACAGUGUUUUCUGAAUUAUACCGUAUAUGUGCUUCCCUUUUCAUUUGCUGAAAUAGUGUGGAAAAUGUACUGAAAUGUUUUUUUUUAAAGAACAUUUAUUUUGUAAUUAAAUAACUCUAUUUGUCAUAGUCUUGUUUCUUGUUUUCUGGUUCUGUAUGACUGUGGAUAAUCGCUAUUUGCAAACAGUCUUUGUAAAACUGUUUUUGAAAUUAUUUUGAAGUUGCCCGUUUUGUUGUACAUGUUACUGUAUUGUAGUGUAAAGUCAAAUUAAAGCAAGACUGCUGGUUUUCCAGCUGAUGUAAAUAUCAACACCAAAAUAUCUCUUAUGAAAUUUAGCGUGUGUGCACUCCAAAUAAAUGUAGGCUACAUCUGAUCUCAACAACAGAUUGGUCGAAGUGUGAGAUCUUUAUUACGUAAAC